GUUUCCCUCAGGAUAGCUGGAACUUAUGAAGAAGUAGUUUUAUCAGGUAAAGCGAAUGAUUAGAGGCUUUGGGGAAGAAACUUCCUCGACCUAUUCUCAAACUUUAAAUAGGUAAGAUUUGAAGGAUACUUAAGUGAUCUUUCAAUCUUUUGAAUAUCAAGUUCUUAGUGGGCCAUUUUUGGUAAGCAGAACUGGCGAUGUGGGAUGAACCGAACGUUAAGUUAAAGUGCCAAAUAAUACGCUCAUGAGAUACCAUAAAAGGUGUUGGUUCAUUUUGACAGCAGGACGGUGGCCAUGGAAGUCGGAACCCGCUAAGGAGUGUGUAACAACUCACCUGCCGAAUGAACUAGCCCUGAAAAUGGAUGGCGCUUAAGCGUAUAACUUAUACUUAACCCUUACUUGAAUCAUCAUAGCGAGUAAGGAGUAGGAGGGC
rnacentral:rRNA from 1 species